rnacentral:rRNA from 1 species
UACGUAGGGGGCAAGCGUUGUCCGGAUUUAUUGGGCGUAAAGAGCGUGUAGGCGGCCAAGCAGGUCCGCUGUGAAAACUCGAGGCUCAACCUCGAGACGUCGGUGGAAACCAUUUGGCUAGAGUCCGGAAGAGGAAAGUGGAAUUCCUGGUGUAGCGGUGAAAUGCGCAGAUAUCAGGAAGAACACCAAUGGCGAAAGCAGCUUUCUGGGACGGUACUGACGCUGAGACGCGAAAGCGUGGGGAGCGAACAGG